CCUACGGGUGGCAGCAGUGGGGAAUAUUGCGCAAUGGGGGAAACCCUGACGCAGCAACGCCGCGUGAGUGAAGAAGUAUCUCGGUAUGUAAAGCUCUAUCAGCGGGGAAGAAGGACGACGGUACCCGACUACAAAGCCCCGGCUAACUACGUGCCAGCAGCCGCGGUAAUACGUAGGGGGCGAGCGUUAUCCGGAUUUACUGGGCGUACAGGGAGCGUAGAAGGUGUCGCAAGUCUGAAGUGAAAUCCCGUGGCUCAACCGCGGAACCGCUUUGGAAACUGCGAGGCUGGAGUGCGGGAGAGGGAAGCGGAAUUCCUGGUGUAGCGGUGAAAUGCGUAGAUAUCAGGAGGAACACCGGUGGCGAAGGCGGCUUACUGGACAGUGACUGACGUUGAGGCUCGAAAGCGUGGGGAGCGAACAGGAUUAGAUACCCCAGUAGUC
rnacentral:rRNA from 1 species